rnacentral:rRNA from 1 species
GAUGAACGCUGGCGGCGUGCUUAACACAUGCAAGUCGAGCGGAAAGGCUCCUGCUUGCAGGGGUACUCGAGUGGCGAACGGGUGAGUAACACGUGGGUGAUCUGCCCUGCACUUCGGGAUAAGCCUGGGAAACUGGGUCUAAUACCGGAUAGGACCACAUUUUGGAUGGUGUGGUGGAAAGUUUUUCGGUGUGGGAUGAGCUCGCGGCCUAUCAGCUUGUUGGUGGGGUAAUGGCCUACCAAGGCGUCGACGGGUAGCCGGCCUGAGAGGGUGUACGGCCACAUUGGGACUGAGAUACGGCCCAGACUCCUACGGGAGGCAGCAGUGGGGAAUAUUGCACAAUGGGCGCAAGCCUGAUGCAGCGACGCCGCGUGGGGGAUGACAGCCUUCGGGUUGUAAACUCCUUUCGCUAGGGACGAAGCGUUUUUGUGACGGUACCUGGAGAAGAAGCACCGGCUAACUACGUG